UUCUGUGCGCUUGGGGCAAUGAUGCAGCUAAUGAGGUUCUAACCGAGGCGCAUCUAUUGCUGGUUGAAAAUUAUUUCCUAACCCUCUCUUGGGUUGAGGUUCAGUCUUGUGCUCUUGAGAAUUUUUUAAAGGGUUAACUCUUUGAUUAGACC